CCCACUCUAUCCCCUCUCCCCUUCUAAAUCAUGAGCCUGUACACUCUGCUUGGCAAUACCAAAAGGUCAGACUUUUCUAAUCAACCCCAUUAAAACAGUUUCUCCUUCACCUCUUAGCUCUGUUGUUGAUGAGUAUUCUACCAAGUACCCACGAAAUCUCAAUACUCAUAAACUAAGCAACCGUUAUAAUUUCAAUUUAUAAGUCGUAACUAUAAAUU